ACUCAGUGAAUCAUCGAAUUUUUGAACGCACCUUGCGCUCUUUAGUUAUUCUGAAGAGCAUGCUUGUUUGAGUGUCGCGAACCUCUCAACCCCGCCCAAGGCUUAAUUGACUUGCGGUUGUUUGGGCUUGGAUCAUGGUCUCUUGUCGUUACCUUCGGGUUUGGACUGGACUGAAAUACAACAAGUUGAAUGGUUUCCAUUUGCAGCUUGACCUGAUGUUGUAAACUACUCAUCGGGGAUGCAAUGAAGCUAAAGGAACUUUAACAGAACCCCUUAAAUGGUACCUAGUACAUUUAUGACCUCAAAUCAAGUAGGACUACCCGCUGAACUUAAGCAUAUCAAUAAGCGGAGGA
rnacentral:rRNA from 1 species